AGCUAGUAGCUUAGUUGACAGAGCGGUGGAACGGUGAUCCACAGUCCCGGGUUUAAGUCCCGGCGGUCGCUA